rnacentral:rRNA from 1 species
AUUGAACGCUGGCGGCAUGCCUUACACAUGCAAGUCGAACGGCAGCACGGGUGCUUGCACCUGGUGGCGAGUGGCGAACGGGUGAGUAAUACAUCGGAACACGUCCUGUAGUGGGGGAUAGCCCGGCGAAAGCCGGAUUAAUACCGCAUACGAUCUACGGAUGAAAGCGGGGGACCUUCGGGCCUCGCGCUAUAGGGUUGGCCGAUGGCUGAUUAGCUAGUUGGUGGGGUAAAGGCCUACCAAGGCGACGAUCAGUAGCUGGUCUGAGAGGACGACCAGCCACACUGGGACUGAGACACGGCCCAGACUCCUACGGGAGGCAGCAGUGGGGAAUUUUGGACAAUGGGCGAAAGCCUGAUCCAGCAAUGCCGCGUGUGUGAAGAAGGCCUUCGGGUUGUAAAGCACUUUUGCCCGGAAAGAAAUCCUUGGCCCUAAUACGGUCGGGGGAUGACGGUACCGGAAGAAUAAGCACCGGCUAACUACGUG